UGGAGGUAAGGUCCCUGGUCGAGCUUUGCUCUCGGGGCGCCAGUCUUAUUGGAUAAGAGAGCCAAAAGGCUAAGGCUGAGAGUUAAGUGACCGGACUGGAGGUAAGGUCCCUGGUCGAGCUUUGCUCUCUGGGCGCCAGUCCUAUUGGAAUGAGAGGUUUGAGAUGAUAGAGUUGAGGUUAGUUGAGACAUAAGUGUUGAAAUAAUCGAGAUUUUAGAGUUGGGAUUAGAGUUCUACUGAAGUACUCCGUCCCGUUGCAUGUGGAAUAAAUUUUGUUUAAGCGUGGCAUGACACGUAUGGUUCGCGCGAUUUAUUAAUUAUUUUAAAAUUAAAUGAAUGUGACAUUGAG
rnacentral:lncRNA from 1 species